rnacentral:rRNA from 1 species
CGGAUCUCUUGGCUCUCGCAUCGAUGAAGAACGCAGCGAAAUGCGAUAAGUAAUGUGAAUUGCAGAAUUCAGUGAAUCAUCGAAUCUUUGAACGCACCUUGCGCUCCUUGGUAUUCCGAGGAGCAUGCCUGUUUGAGUGUCAUUA